UUAAAAGCAAUGAAGGUGUACAGUAGACACUUAUUUUCCACCAGAGAGGGGAGGCCACCGGCUGAAAGCCUGCCCAGGUUCAGAUAAGAGGUUGAAAUUCCCACUGGAGCUGCAUGGAUGAAGGAAGGUAUUCCUGUAGUCCGUGACGUGAGCAUACGUUACAUGCGUUUAAGUGUCUGCAUUGACAGGCCGCAAGGCCUUUAAGCAGGAAUCAGGGUGGUACCGCGGGUAUUGUCUCGUCCCUUCG
rnacentral:ncRNA from 1 species